AGGUUCCCAUGUCACAGGAGG
rnacentral:misc_RNA from 1 species